rnacentral:misc_RNA from 1 species
GAUGAAGAACGCAGCGAAAUGCGAUAAGUAAUGUGAAUUGCAGAAUUCCGUGAAUCAUCGAAUCUUUGAACGCACAUUGCGCCCCCUGGUAUUCCGGGGGGCAUGCCUGUCCGAGCGUCAUUGCAACCCUCAAGCGCGGCUUGUGUGUUGGGCUUCGUCCCCCCGUGGACGUGCCCGAAAGGCAGUGGCGGCGUCCCGAAUGGUGCCCGAGCGUAUGGGAACUCUCUUCCGCUCGAACCGGCCCAUUCGGCGCUGGUCGAACCCCAAUUUUUUACCGGUUGACCUCGGAUCAGGUAGGGAUACCCGCUGAACUUAAGCAUAUCAAUAAGCGGACGA